AUUGAUAUUAGGUCAAUAGGUCCAAAAUACAUGUCCAAUCAACUAUAUGCGUAUUGUUCAUUGGCAUAGCCUAUUACACAUCUAAAAUAACAAAAUAUUGCAUAAAGCCAAACCCUACUGUGCAUUGGCAUAUGCCAUUACAUUUUCAUAAUAACUAUAAAUAUUGCAUCAAUAUGCCUAUUGAUCCAAAAUACCAAAAUAUGUCAUAGCAUACUAUCAUCCCUAAUAACUACAAAGUCCAAUAAACCAAUAGCAGUACAUCUAUUUCCACAAACAAAAUUUUGGCCAUAUGAGCUUCCACUGAUGCUACUUUCAGUCUAGUGCCUCUGGAAGUGGAUAGUCAUUUUGAAUCUCAAUUGAAGUUUGGGAAGGUAUUGGAUCGAUUUAAGGGAGCUUGGGAUCCAAUUGGCUAUGAUGAAGGUUUUUGCUGCUUCUUUGAUUUGCCUUUUUUUGUUGUGUGUUUAACUCUUUUUGCUGCUUUGGCUGCUGCUUGAGGUCCUAUGACAUAUUCAACAGAAUUUUCACCUGGCAUCUGUAUAAACAGCCAUACAUGCACUUAAAGCAGUGAUUGGAAGUACAAUGAAGUGCACAACCAUGUCAGUUUUAAAAAAAGCAUACAUAAUCUUGAAUCAGAAUAUUACUCUUGCAUAAAUAGCUCCAGUAUGUUUAUAUAUCAAUAUUCCACUUCCAACACUUGCCUAUUAAAUAAUGAAAACAAUUGCAUUAACCACAUGCAACUUAUACAUAAUUUAAACAAAUGAAAAAUUCAUUUACAGUACCUGUGCCUAUCAAUAGCAUUAAUUCUACUCAAUUCUACAUUUGUAAGUGGUGUGUUUGAGGUCUCACUUGCUUUUAAUGGUUGCUUCCUUGGAUUCUUCCUUGGUCUGCCAUGCUUUUUCUUUGACACACAUGCAAAUUAAAAAAGCUAGUCAUGAUACAUGCAAAUUAAAAAAGUUAGUCAUUAUAUCAAUAAAUAAAUUCAUUAUAUCAAUAAAUAAAUUUUUUUAACAUGCUUUAUCAAUUAAAAACCAGUUGCUG
rnacentral:misc_RNA from 1 species